CCCUUAGUAACUGCGAGUGAAGAGGGAUUAGCCCAACACCGAAGCCUGUGGUUGUUUGAUCACUAGGCAAUGUGGUGUUUAGGUUUGUUCUUGGCAUUACUGCUCUACCUCAAGUCCAUCAAUGAGUACGGCUUACUGGUCUGGCCCAAAGAGGGUGAAAGGCCCGUGGGGGUAGAGAUCAUGUGUGUCAGUUUUGCCCUGAGCUUACCUUGGAGUCGGGGUUGUUUGUGAAUGCAGCCCCAAAGUGGGUGGUAAACUCCAUCCAAGGCUAAAUACUAGCACGAGUCCGAUAGCGAACAAGUACCGUGAGGGAAAGUUGAAAAGUACUUUGAAGAGAGAGUAAACAGUGCGUGAAACUGCUCAGAGGUAAACGGGUGGAGUUGAACUGCAAACCUUGGGAAUUCAGCUGAUGAGUAUAAUUUGCGCUCAGACAUAUAAUCAGCCUUUAGUGUCUGUCAUGUGGCAGGUGCCUUCCCUUUAUGGGUUGGUAUGUGUGAUACGCUUAUCAUGUGUUGCACGCAUUAGAGGUUCUGGGUUGGCUUGUCAGUGCACUUUCUCAAGGUGUUCACCACGACCGUCACUGCUGUCUGUCUGCAUUGGUCAAACUGAUCAGGUCCGGUUAAUCUGGGCUUGGUCGGGUCGGCAGGUAACUCAUCGGUCCAUUUAUUGGGCCGUGAGCAUAAUUAGCUGGCCAGUGUGGAUCUGUACAGUGUGUCGGAGAUGACGACUACGCAUACGUGCUUUAUCCUUCGGGCGAGGCUUAGUCUGGUCGGCAUUGUAGCCAGCUUCGGUUGGUCGGUCGAUGGCUUAGUCUUGUUCAGAUGGUAGUUGCGUGUGUGUCUUGGCUUGGGCCUAUAGUCUGUGGUGUAGUGGUAGACGAUCCACCCGACCCGUCUUGAAACACGGACCAAGGAGUUUAACAUGUGCGCGAGUCAUUGGGCUUUACGAAACCCAAAGGCGCAGUGAAGGUGAAGGUUUGGCUUGUCCGAACUGAGGUGAGAUCCUGUUGUUAUGUCCAUUUCAUUAUUUCUGAGUUACGAGCAGCAGGCGCAUCACCAGCCCGUCCCAUGACGUAGACACGUGACCUUGUGUUGUGUGCACCGUCGGGGCGGAGCAAGAGCGCACACGUUGAGACCCGAAAGAUGGUGAACUAUGCUUGCGCAGGUUGAAGCCAGAGGAAACUCUGGUGGAGGACCGCAGCGAUUCUGACGUGCAAAUCGAUCGUCUAACGUGAGUAUAGGGGCGAAAGACUAAUCGAACCAUCUAGUAGCUGGUUCCCUCCGAAGUUUCCCUCAGGAUAGCUGGCAUUCUGAGAAGUAAACAGUUUUAUCCGGUAAAGCGAAUGAUUAGAGGCAUUGGGGAGAAAACGUCCUCAACCUAUUCUCAAACUUUAAAUGGGUGAGAAGCUUGACUCGCUUAAAUGGAGUUAGGCAUUGAAUGUGAGUGCCAAGUGGGCCAUUUUUGGUAAGCAGAACUGGCGCUGUGGGAUGAACCAAACGUACGGUUAAGGUGCCAAACGUAACGCUCAUGAGAUACCACAAAAGGUGUUGGUUGGUCCAGACAUGCAGGACGGUGGCCAUGGAAGUCGGAAACCGCUAAGGA
rnacentral:rRNA from 1 species